rnacentral:rRNA from 1 species
AGAGUUUGAUCCUGGCUCAGGAUGAACGCUAGCUACAGGCUUAACACAUGCAAGUCGAGGGGCAGCAUGGUCUUAGCUUGCUAAGGCCGAUGGCGACCGGCGCACGGGUGAGUAACACGUAUCCAACCUGCCGUCUACUCUUGGACAGCCUUCUGAAAGGAAGAUUAAUACAAGAUGGCAUCAUGAGUCCGCAUGUUCACAUGAUUAAAGGUAUUCCGGUAGACGAUGGGGAUGCGUUCCAUUAGAUAGUAGGCGGGGUAACGGCCCACCUAGUCUUCGAUGGAUAGGGGUUCUGAGAGGAAGGUCCCCCACAUUGGAACUGAGACACGGUCCAAACUCCUACGGGAGGCAGCAGUGAGGAAUAUUGGUCAAUGGGCGAGAGCCUGAACCAGCCAAGUAGCGUGAAGGAUGACUGCCCUAUGGGUUGUAAACUUCUUUUAUAAAGGAAUAAAGUCGGGUAUGCAUACCCGUUUGCAUGUACUUUAUGAAUAAGGAUCGGCUAACUCCGUGCCAGCAGCCGCGGUAAUACGGAGGAUCCGAGCGUUAUCCGGAUUUAUUGGGUUUAAAGGGAGCGUAGAUGGAUGUUUAAGUCAGUUGUGAAAGUUUGCGGCUCAACCGUAAAAUUGCAGUUGAUACUGGAUAUCUUGAGUGCAGUUGAGGCAGGCGGAAUUCGUGGUGUAGCGGUGAAAUGCUUGGAUAUCACGAAGAACUCCGAUUGCGAAGGCAGCCUGCUAAGCUGCGACUGACAUUGAGGCUCGAAAGUGUGGGUAUCAAACAGGAUUAGAUACCCUGGUAGUCCACACGGUAAACGAUGAAUACUCGCUGUUUGCGAUAUACAGCAAGCGGCCAAGCGAAAGCGUUAAGUAUUCCACCUGGGGAGUACGCCGGCAACGGUGAAACUCAAAGGAAUUGACGGGGGCCCGCACAAGCGGAGGAACAUGUGGUUUAAUUCGAUGAUACGCGAGGAACCUUACCCGGGCUUAAAUUGCAGAUGAAUUACGGUGAAAGCCGUAAGCCGCAAGGCAUCUGUGAAGGUGCUGCAUGGUUGUCGUCAGCUCGUGCCGUGAGGUGUCGGCUUAAGUGCCAUAACGAGCGCAACCCAUGUUGUCAGUUACUAACAGGUCAUGCUGAGGACUCUGACAAGACUGCCAUCGUAAGAUGUGAGGAAGGUGGGGAUGACGUCAAAUCAGCACGGCCCUUACGUCCGGGGCUACACACGUGUUACAAUGGGGGGUACAGAGGGCCGCUACCACGCGAGUGGAUGCCAAUCCCCAAAACCUCUCUCAGUUCGGACUGGAGUCUGCAACCCGACUCCACGAAGCUGGAUUCGCUAGUAAUCGCGCAUCAGCCACGGCGCGGUGAAUACGUUCCCGGGCCUUGUACACACCGCCCGUCAAGCCAUGGGAGCCGGGGGUACCUGAAGUGCGUAACCGCGAGGAGCGCCCUAGGGUAAAACUGGUGACUGGGGCUAAGUCGUAACAAGGUA